rnacentral:rRNA from 1 species
GGGGAAUAUUGCACAAUGGGGGAAACCCUGAUGCAGCAACGCCGCGUGAGUGAUGACGGUCUUCGGAUUGUAAAGCUCUGUCUUCAGGGACGAUAAUGACGGUACCUGAGGAGGAAGCCACGGCUAACUACGUGCCAGCAGCCGCGGUAAUACGUAGGUGGCAAGCGUUGUCCGGAUUUACUGGGCGUAAAGGGAGCGUAGGUGGAUAUUUAAGUGGGAUGUGAAAUACUCGGGCUUAACCUGGGUGCUGCAUUCCAAACUGGAUAUCUAGAGUGCAGGAGAGGAAAGUAGAAUUCCUAGUGUAGCGGUGAAAUGCGUAGAGAUUAGGAAGAAUACCGGUGGCGAAGGCGACUUUCUGGACUGUAACUGACACUGAGGCUCGAAAGCGUGGGGAGCAAAC